GAACGCACAUUGCGCCCCUUGGUACUCCAUGGGGCAUGCCUGUCCGAGCGUCAUUACAACCCUCAAGCUCAGCUUGGUAUUGGGCCCCGCCGACCCGGCGGGCCCUAAAGUCAGUGACGGUGCCGUCCGGCUCCGAGCGUAGUAAUUCUUCUCGCUCUGGAGGUCCGGUCGUGUGCUCGCCAGCAACCCCCAAUUUUUUCAGGUUGACCUCGGAUCAGGUAGGGAUACCCGCUGAACUUAAG
rnacentral:misc_RNA from 1 species